rnacentral:rRNA from 1 species
UGGGGAAUUGUUCACAAUGGGCGCAAGCCUGAUGACGCAAUGCCGCGUGGAGGAUGAAGGUCUUCGGAUUGUAAACUCCUGUUGCCAGGGACGAAUGGCUCCGACCUAAUACGUCGGAGAAUGACGGUACCUGGUGAGGAAGCCCCGGCUAACUCUGUGCCAGCAGCCGCGGUAAUACAGAGGGGGCAAGCGUUGUUCGGAAUUACUGGGCGUAAAGGGCGCGUAGGCGGCCCGCUAAGUCGAACGUGAAAUCCCCAGGCUCAACCUGGGAACUGCGUCCGAUACUGGCAGGCUUGAAUCCGGGAGAGGGAUGUGGAAUUCCAGGUGUAGCGGUGAAAUGCGUAGAUAUCUGGAGGAACACCGGUGGCGAAGGCGGCAUCCUGGACCGGUAUUGACGCUGAGGCGCGAAAGCUAGGGGAGCAAACGGGAUUAGAUACCCCGGUAGUCCUAGCCCUAAACGAUGAAUGCUUGGUGUGGCGGGUAUCGAUCCCUGCCGUGCCGAAGCUAACGCAUUAAGCAUUCCGCCUGGGGAGUACGGUCGCAAGGCUGA